GUGACUGUAUGAUGAUAUAAUUUGCGAUCAAGGGCUAAUCACCUGGAACACCGCCAUGUUCUAUGUGGGUGUUUAGCGAAAUGCGAAAAGUUUUUUAUCUGACGUUUUC
rfam:Saccharomyces arboricola H-6 chromosome XI, whole genome shotgun sequence.